GGACUACUCGGGUUUCUAAUCCUGUUUGCUCCCCACGCUUUCGUGCCUCAGCGUCAGUAUCGGGCCAGUGAGCCGCCUUCGCCACUGGUGUUCUUGCGAAUAUCUACGAAUUUCACCUCUACACUCGCAGUUCCACUCACCUCUCCCGAACUCAAGAUCUUCAGUAUCAAAGGCAGUUCUGGAGUUGAGCUCCAGGAUUACACCCCUGACUUAAAGACCCGCCUACGCACCCUUUACGCCCAGUGAUUCCGAGCAACGCUAGCCGCCGCGGUAAGACGUAGGGGGCCAGCGUUGCUCGGAAUUACUGGGUGUAAAGGGUUCGUAGGCGGUGUAGCAAGUCGGGAGUGAAAUCUCUGGGCUCAACCCAGGGGCUGCUUCCGAAACUGCUGUGCUAGAGUGUGGGAGAAGCGCGUGGAAUUGCAGGUGUAGCGGUGAAA
rnacentral:rRNA from 1 species